rnacentral:lncRNA from 1 species
ACGAGCUCGGAGCUGUCAGCAGCUAAGGCAGAAGCGAUGCAUUUUUGGACCGUCACCGGAAUAGCUCGAACAUCGCCUCCUUGACUGCUGGAUAAAAACAGCGGAUAUGGUGACCGAGUCACCCGUCACACAGCCCUUAGACCCUAAACCCUAAACUGGCGCUCAUCAACGUCUUCCAACCUUCAGCGCUAACAGCCGGGGCACGCAAAGGGAUUCCUUUUAUUAGCUGGGGCUAGCAUGUCCAAUCAGGGCGCAGCCGUUUGUUCAAGCGGCUGGCCUGGCAUGACCCCGUGCGUUCUUGGAAAAAACCCAGUAUAGAGACUACGUAGCUUUUGCUGUGACAGGGACGUGAGCUGCUCCUCAUGUGCAUGUCUGCGGGAGAUGAACACAAAUUCCUGGGUUGUCACCCUCACGAUGCUUAUCCACGGACGGGCGGUCGGCGCGGGUGCCGAUGCGCCCUCCCCCAAAACGCCACCAGGUUUUCCAAGGGACAAACGCCCUGCAGGAUCAUUCAACAGCCAUCGAUCUAUAUUACAAACGAGGAAGCCGCGGCGGCCGGAUGUAUGGUUCGACGUAAUCGCACACCAUGCAGAUACUGAUACUGCAGGAGGUGAAGGCUAUGUGAUGAGGCGUCUCCGACUCGCGUCAGAGGUACUGUGGAUCCGUUCCGGCACGAGCAAUAACCUGUGUUGGAGCGGAAGAUUCGAUACCACUCGUUUACGAAAGCCGAGGUGCUGCGUGUGAUUGCUUCACACGUUUUGGUAUGCUGUGAAUGUCUGUGUAGACAGAGGAACGAAUGAGAUGUGCUUGACUUUGUGUCAAGCGGAAGUGAUUUUGCGAAGGACUGAGUUCAUGGACGCAAUUCGUAAGCUCAUGGACGGGAUGCAGGCGGAAGCUGCAAACAUGAAACCGCCCUUGUGGAUCAGGCUGAGCUGUGCACCUUGUGACAGAG